rnacentral:hammerhead_ribozyme from 1 species
ACACUGCUGAGGAGUCCCACAAUAGGACGAAGCGGCCGUCCGAUGU